CCCUCAUAUGGAACUUAUAUAGGACUAGGUCCACCCCUAAAAUUCUUUCUUUGAUAUAACCCCCUGGAGAGGUAAAAGUACCAUUGGGCCCUUAUGUUCAAUUUCCACCCAACUGCAUCAGCACUUUCGCCCCUACAUUCAGUAUAAUGUUGAACUGCAUUUAGCAUUUUAGGCCUGCAUUUAUCAUUUUUAUAGAUUAUUUUAAUAAAAAUAUAAAUUCUUAUUUUAUUAUUAUUUUUUAUAUAUAUUGUAUUUUGUAUUUUUUAUUUUUU
rnacentral:lncRNA from 1 species